rnacentral:rRNA from 1 species
GACGAACGCUGGCGGCGUGCCUAAUACAUGCAAGUAGAACGCUGAAGAGAGGAGCUUGCUCUUCUUGGAUGAGUUGCGAACGGGUGAGUAACGCGUAGGUAACCUGCCUGGUAGCGGGGGAUAACUAUUGGAAACGAUAGCUAAUACCGCAUAAAAUGGAUUAUCGCAUGAUAAUCCAUUGAAAGGUGCAAAUGCAUCACUACCAGAUGGACCUGCGUUGUAUUAGCUAGUUGGUGGGGUAACGGCUCACCAAGGCGACGAUACAUAGCCGACCUGAGAGGGUGAUCGGCCACACUGGGACUGAGACACGGCCCAGACUCCUACGGGAGGCAGCAGUAGGGAAUCUUCGGCAAUGGACGGAAGGCUGACCGAGCAACGCCGCGUGAGUGAAGAAGGUUUUCGGAUCGUAAAGCUCUGUUGUAAGAGAAGAACGAGUGUGAGAGUGGAAAGUUCACACUGUGACGGUAUCUUACCAGAAAGGGACGGCUAACUACGUG